rnacentral:rRNA from 1 species
UACGAAGGGGGGCUAGCGUUGCUCGGAAUCACUGGGCGUAAAGGGUGCGUAGGCGGGUCUUUUAAGUCAGGGGUGAAAUCCCGGGGCUCAACCCCGGAACUGCCUUUGAUACUGGGUAUCUCGAGUCCGGAAGAGGUGAGUGGAAUUCCGAGUGUAGAGGUGAAAUUCGUAGAUAUUCGCAAGAACACCAGUGGCGAAGGCGGCUCACUGGCCCGGUACUGACGCUGAGGUGCGAAAGCGUGGGGAGCAAACAGGG